CGGUUGAUCCUGCCGGACCUGACUGCUAUCGGAUUGAUACUAAGCCAUGCGAGUCAUUGUAGCAAUACAAGGCAUACGGCUCAGUAACGCGUAGUCAACCUACCCUAUGGACGGGAAUAACCUCGGGAAACUGAGUAUAAUGCCCGAUAGAACAUUAUGCCUGGAAGGGUUUAUGUUCCAAAUGAUUUAUCGCCGUAGGAUGGGACUGCGGCCUAUCAGUUUGUUGGUGAGGUAAUGGCCCACCAAGACUAUUACAGGUACGGGCUCUGAGAGGAGUGGCCCGGAGAUGGGUACUGAGACACGGACCCAGGCCCUAUGGGGCGCAGCAGGCGAGAAAACUUUGCAAUGUGCGAAAGCACGACAAGGUUAAUCCGAGUGAUUUCUGCUAAAGGAAUCUUUUGUCAGUCCUAGAAACACUAACGAAUAAGGGGUGGGCAAGUUCUGGUGUCAGCCGCCGCGGUAAAACCAGCACCUCAAGUGGUCAGGAUGAUUAUUGGGCCUAAAGCAUCCGUAGCCGGCUCUGUAAGUUUUCGGUUAAAUCUGUACGCUCAACGUACAGGCUGCCGGGAAUACUGCAGAGCUAGGGAGUGGGAGAGGUAGACGGUACUCGGUAGGAAGGGGUAAAAUCCUUUGAUCUAUUGAUG
rnacentral:rRNA from 1 species